CGAUGAAUGGGAAGAAAGAAACCACGACCAAACAUCUACCGAUGAAUGGGAAGAAAGAAACCACGACCAGACAUCUACCGAUGAAUGGGAAGAAAGGAACCACGACCAGACAUCUACCGAUGACUGGGAAGAAAAGAAACCACGACCAGAUAUCUACCGAUGAAUGGGAAGAAAGAAACCACGACCAGACAUCUACCGAUGAAUGGGAAGAAAGA
rnacentral:lncRNA from 1 species